UGGGGUUGCAGCUCAGUGGUAGAGCACUUGCCUAGUAUGUGUGAAGCACUGGGUUCAAUUCUCAGCACCACAA
rnacentral:tRNA from 1 species